rnacentral:rRNA from 1 species
UACAGAGGUCUCGAGCGUUGUUCGGAUUCAUUGGGCGUAAAGGGCGCGUAGGCGGCGGGGUAAGUCUGGUGUGAAAUCUAGGAGCUCAACUCCUAAACUGCACUGGAUACUGCUCUGCUGGAGGACUGGAGAGGAGACUGGAAUUCACGGUGUAGCAGUGAAAUGUGUAGAGAUCGGGAGGAACACCGGUGGCGAAGGCGGGUCUCUGGGCAUUUCCUGACGCUGAGGCGCGAAAGCGUGGGGAGCAAACGGG